rnacentral:rRNA from 1 species
GACGAACGCUGGCGGCGUGCCUAAUACAUGCAAGUCGAACGAGUUGCGAACGGGUGAGUAACGCGUGGUAACCUGCCUCAUAGCGGGGGAUAACUCUUGGAAACGCUAGCUAAUACCGCAUACUGUGAGAUGGCACUGCGUUGUAUUAGCUAGUUGGUGAGGUAAAGGCUCACCAAGGCGACGAUACAUAGCCGACCUGAGAGGGUGAUCGGGAACACUGGGACUGAGACACGGUCCAGACUACUAAGGGAGGCAGCAGUGGGGAAUAUUGCACAAUGGGCGAAAGCCUGAUGCAGCCAUGCCGCGGGUAUGAAGAAGGCCUUAGGGUUGUAAAGUACUUUCAGCGGGGAGGCGUUACCCGAAGAAGAAGCACCGGCUAACUCCGUGCCAGCAGCCGCGGUAAUUC